rnacentral:rRNA from 1 species
AUUGAACGCUGGCGGCAGGCUUAACACAUGCAAGUCGAGCGGAGAGAGGUAGCUUGCUACUGAUCUUAGCGGCGGACGGGUGAGUAAUGCUUAGGAAUCUGCCUAUUAGUGGGGGACAACAUUUCGAAAGGAAUGCUAAUACCGCAUACGUCCUACGGGAGAAAGCAGGGGAUCUUCGGACCUUGCGCUAAUAGAUGAGCCUAAGUCGGAUUAGCUAGUUGGUGGGGUAAAGGCCUACCAAGGCGACGAUCUGUAGCGGGUCUGAGAGGAUGAUCCGCCACACUGGGACUGGAAAACGGCCCAGACUCCUACGGGAGGCAGCAGUGGGGAAUAUUGGACAAUGGGCGCAAGCCUGAUCCAGCCAUGCCGCGUGUGUGAAGAAGGCCUUAUGGUUGUAAAGCACUUUAAGCGAGGAGGAGGCUACUUUAGUUAAUACCUAGAGAUAGUGGACGUUACUCGCAGAAUAAGCACCGGCUAACUCUGUGCCAGCCGCCGCGGUAACAC